rnacentral:lncRNA from 1 species
GGAGGAUUGCUCUUAAUCUUGAUUUCACAGGACCACCGAUUUAAGAUUAAAGAAACAACGAAGUAGAACAAGCUCUCAAUAUAUAUCAUGUGAAAAAAAUAUCAUUACUAUUAUCACAUACUUCAAAGAAGUGGAAUUGUGUAAAGUGAUGUAUUCAGAAAGACAUCAGAGGGAAAUGAAGAUUUGAAUGAGAUCCUUGAUAAUCAGGGUGCUGGUUACCAACCAUCCCUCAAAAUAGAAAGAGGAAGCCACUUGCCCUGGAUGCUCUUCCUCCAAAGAGGUUCGUGAAGCUCUCUGAGGAAAAGGGAGUUGAUAUGGAUAAGAAUAAAGAAAAAUAAUUUACAUGUAAGGUUUUUUUU